CAGCCGCCGCGGGAAUACAGAGGGUGCAAGCGUUAAUCGGAAUUACUGGGCGUAAAGCGCGCGUAGGUGGUUUGUUAAGUUGGAUGUGAAAUCCCCGGGCUCAACCUGGGAACUGCAUCCAAAACUGGCAAGAUAGAGUAUGGUAGAGGGUGGUGGAAUUUCCUGUGUAGCGGUGAAAUGCGUAGAUAUAGGAAGGAACACCAGUGGCGAAGGCGACCACCUGGACUGAUACUGACACUGAGGUGCGAAAGCGUGGGGAGCAAACAGGAUUAGAUACCCCCGUAGUCCCUGUCUCUUAUAC
rnacentral:rRNA from 1 species